rnacentral:rRNA from 1 species
UACGUAGGGGGCGAGCGUUGUCCGGAUUCACUGGGCGUAAAGCGUGCGCAGGCGGUUUUGUAAGCCAGAUGUGAAAGCCCCGGGCUCAACCUGGGAAUGGCAUUUGGGACUGCAAGGCUGGAGUUUGGCAGAGGAGACUGGAAUUCCCGGUGUAGCAGUGAAAUGCGUAGAUAUCGGGAGGAAUACCGAUGGCGAAGGCAGGUCUCUGGGCUAUAACUGACGCUCAUGCACGAAAGCGUGGGGAGCAAACAGG